rnacentral:pre_miRNA from 1 species
UCUUAUCGAUGAGCAAAGAAAGUGGUUUCCCGAGAUGGAAUCUACUUAAUCCCGGUGAAGAUACUGUGAA